GGGAGUUUGGCCGAGUGGUUAAGGCGCUGUGUUUAGGUCAUGCCUGGGUCAACCUGGUAUACCAUAAACCCGCAGUGGGAAACCGCGCAGGUUCGAAUCCUGCAGCUCUCA